rnacentral:rRNA from 1 species
CCUACGGGAGGCAGCAGUGGGGAAUCUUGCGCAAUGGGCGAAAGCCUGACGCAGCCAUGCCGCGUGAAUGAUGAAGGUCUUAGGAUUGUAAAAUUCUUUCACCGGGGACGAUAAUGACGGUACCCGGAGAAGAAGCCCCGGCUAACUUCGUGCCAGCAGCCGCGGUAAUACGAAGGGGGCUAGCGUUGCUCGGAAUUACUGGGCGUAAAGGGAGCGUAGGCGGAUAGUUUAGUCAGAGGUGAAAGCCCAGGGCUCAACCUUGGAAUUGCCUUUGAUACUGGCUAUCUUGAGUACGGAAGAGGUAUGUGGAACUCCGAGUGUAGAGGUGAAAUUCGUAGAUAUUCGGAAGAACACCAGUGGCGAAGGCGACAUACUGGUCCGUUAACUGACGCUGAGGCUCGAAAGCGUGGGGAGCAAACAGGAUUAGAUACCCUGGUAGUCCACGCUGUAAACGAUGAGUGNUAGUUGUCGGUCGAUGCAUGCAUGUCGGGUUCGGUACGGCGACGACGUAACCGACCGAACUUAAGUACGACCUCCCGUCCCGUCGGGGUACGGGUUACCGGGUUACCGGUACCGAACGAAGUUAAAACCGUUAAACCGAAACGGAAAGUUAAGUACGGACGUGAGACGUACGCCGACGGACGACCGACCGACGGGAGGUUAGG